rnacentral:rRNA from 1 species
AGGGGGUUUGAUCCUGGCUCAGGACGAACACUGGCGGCGUGCUUAACACAUGCAAGUCUACGAGAAAGUGUCUUUCGGGAUGCGAGUAAAGUGGCGCACGGGUGAGUAACACGUAAGCAAUCUACCCUUAGGCCUGGGAUAACCCCGAGAAAUCGGGGCUAAUACCGGAUGAUGCAGCGGCACCGCAUGGUGAUGUUGUUAAAGUCUAUAUGGCGUCUAGGGAUGAGCUUGCGUCUGAUUAGCUUGUUGGUGAGGUAACGGCUCACCAAGGCUGCGAUCAGUAGCUGGUCUGAGAGGAUGAUCAGCCACACUGGAACUGAGACACGGUCCAGACUCCUACGGGAGGCAGCAGUGAGGAAUAUUGGGCAAUGGGCGAAAGCCUGACCCAGCAACGCCGCGUGGGAGGAUGAAUGUCGUAAGAUUGUAAACUCCUGUUUAGAGGGGAAGAAUAAUUCCGAUCGAAUCGGAACUUGACUGUACCCUCA